AGUGAACGCUGGCGGCAGGCCUAAUACAUGCAAGUCGAACGGCAGCACAGCAGAGCUUGCUCUGUGGGUGGCGAGUGGCGGACGGGUGAGGAAUACGUGGGAAUCUGCCCAGUCGUGGGGGAUAACGUAGGGAAACUUACGCUAAUACCGCAUGCGCCCUUCGGGGAAAGCCGGGGACCUUCGGGCCUGGCGCGAUUGGAUGAGCCCACGUCGGAUUAGCUAGUUGGCGGGUAAAGGCCCACCAAGGCGACGAUCCGUAGCUGGUCUGAGAGGAUGAUCAGCCACACUGGAACUGAGACACGGUCCAGACUCCUACGGGAGGCAGCAGUAGGGAAUAUUGGACAAUGGGCGCAAGCCUGAUCCAGCCAUGCCGCGUGAGUGAAGAAGGCCCUCGGGUUGUAAAGCUCUUUUGUCCGGAAAGAAAAGCGCCGGGUUAAUACCCUGGUGUCCUGACGGUACCGGAAGAAUAAGCACCGGCUAACUUCGUGCCAGC
rnacentral:rRNA from 1 species